CCUACGGGUGGCAGCAGUCGAGAAUCUUCGGCAAUGGGCGCAAGCCUGACCGAGCGACGCCGCGUGGAGGAUGAAGGCCUUCGGGUUGUAAACUCCUGUCGAGGGGGAACAAGGCGCCGUGCAGAACGGCGCUCGAGUGAUCCCUGGAGGAAGCACGGGCUAAGUUCGUGCCAGCAGCCGCGGUAAGACGAACCGUGCGAACGUUAUUCGGAUUCACUGGGCUUAAAGCGCGCCCGGGCGGCCCGUCGCGGAAAUCCCCCGGCUCAACCGGGGAACGGGCGCGGAUACGAUCGGGCUGGAGGCCGGUAGGGGGAGUCGGAACUUCCGGUGGAGCGGUGAAAUGCGUUGAGAUCGGAAGGAACGCCCGUGGCGAAAGCGGACUCCUGGACCGGACCUGACGCUGAGACGCGAAAGCUAGGGGAGCAAACGGGAUUAGAUACCCCAGUAGUC
rnacentral:rRNA from 1 species